UGAACCACUGAGCUCUACCUCUGAAACUAAUAACAUACUGUAUGCUAAUUAAUUUGAUUUAAAUUAAAAAGAAGAACCACCUGUCAGGCGGGCGGGGGCAGCAGGGUUGAACACACGAUUCAUGAAGGAACGUGCAGCAGGGGAGUGAAGUGCAGAGAGGGCAGGGGUCGGACGGGCCCAGCACGGAAGGGCGGUCAGGAGACCCGAGGGCAAGACCGGGCAGAAGAAAGCAAUCCGGGAGGAGUGAGAGAGACAGUGGAGGGGGCUGCGAGUGAGGACCGAGCUCCACCGCAGCGCUGCCGGGCGGCCACGCGCGAGGGCCGCGCUCUACAGCCCAUCGAACAAAACGGACGCUUUUGCAGGCCGGAAGCAGUGAAAAAUCCCCGCAAUUGCGUCCAACACGAAAGGAGCGGCUCCCGCAAGAGCCGCGUGAGAACGCAUGCGUCAUCUCAGCGCCGUUCACGCCGUCAGGACUCCGCUCACCUGCAGGCGCGGCCAGGGGACUGAGCGGAGAUGGGGGCUGCACCGUGGCAACAGGCUCCAGAAGCAUUUUAACGAGGAACACAUGAAAUUAUACUCAAAACUUCAAAAGGAAGAAAAUGAAUUUGGCGACGGGGAAAUCGCUGGACACCACGGCUCGGACGGUUCCUCCACUUAGACGUCAUCCAAUGGAGCCUCUGCUUUUCUUUCUACGUUAAAAGAGCGAGAGACACAGAGAGAGAGAACAAGGAGGAGCAGCAGAGGCAGAGGGAGAAGCA